rnacentral:rRNA from 1 species
UACGUAGGGCGCAAGCGUUGUCCGGAAUUACUGGGCGUAAAGGGCUCGUAGGCGGCCAACUAAGUCAGACGUGAAAUCCCCAGGCUCAACCUGGGAACUGCGUCCGAUACUGGAUGGCUUGAAUCCGGGAGAGGGAUGCAGAAUUCCAGGUGUAGCGGUGAAAUGCGUAGAUAUCUGGAGGAAUACCGGUGGCGAAGGCGGCAUCCUGGACCGGCAUUGACGCUGAGGAGCGAAAGCCAGGGGAGCAAACGGG